CCUACGGGUGGCAGCAGUGAGGAAUAUUGGUCAAUGGGCGAGAGCCUGAACCAGCCAAGUCGCGUGAGGGAAGACGGUCCUAUGGAUUGUAAACCUCUUUUGCCGGGGAGCAAAAAGCGGUACGUGUACCGCAUCGAGAGUACCCGGAGAAAAAGCAUCGGCUAACUCCGUGCCAGCAGCCGCGGUAAUACGGAGGAUGCGAGCGUUAUCCGGAUUUAUUGGGUUUAAAGGGUGCGUAGGCGGUCUGUUAAGUCAGCGGUAAAAUUGCGGGGCUCAACCCCGUCGAGCCGUUGAAACUGGCAGACUUGAGUUGGCGAGAAGUACGCGGAAUGCGCGGUGUAGCGGUGAAAUGCAUAGAUAUCGCGCAGAACUCCGAUUGCGAAGGCAGCGUACCGGCGCCAGACUGACGCUGAGGCACGAAAGCGUGGGGAUCGAACAGGAUUAGAUACCCGGGUAGUC
rnacentral:rRNA from 1 species